CCUACGGGGGGCUGCAGUGAGGAAUAUUGGUCAAUGGACGAGAGUCUGAACCAGCCAAGUAGCGUGAAGGAUGACUGCCCUAUGGGUUGUAAACUUCUUUUAUAUGGGAAUAAAACGUUCCACGUGUGGGAUUUUGUAUGUACCCUAUGAAUAAGGAUCGGCUAACUCCGUGCCAGCAGCCGCGGUAAUACGGAGGAUCCGAGCGUUAUCCGGAUUUAUUGGGUUUAAAGGGAGCGUAGGUGGAUUGUUAAGUCAGUUGUGAAAGUUUGCGGCUCAACCGUAAAAUUGCAGUUGAAACUGGCAGUCUUGAGUACAGUAGAGGUGGGCGGAAUUCGUGGUGUAGCGGUGAAAUGCUUAGAUAUCACGAAGAACUCCGAUGGCGAAGGCAGUUCACUGGACUGCAACUGACACUGAGGCUCGAAAGUGUGGGUAUCAAACAGGAUUAGAUACCCGGGUAGUC
rnacentral:rRNA from 1 species